GCCUUCUUAGCUCAGUUGGUAGAGCGCAUCCAUGGUAAGGAUGAGGUCACCAGUACAAGCCUGCUAGAAGGCUCCA
rnacentral:tRNA from 1 species